rnacentral:tRNA from 2 species
GGGGAUUAGCUCAGUUGGCUAGAGCGCCUGCUUUGCACGCAGGAGGUCAAGGGUUCGACUCCCUUAUUCUCC